UUAGGCACGAAGGGUUCGCUUCAGAGGAAAAAUAUUUCAGCGUUGAAAGACGCAAGCGGGUGUGUGUAUAUAUAUAUAUACUUGUGGCUGAUCGAGAAAUAGGGUGUAAGCUAAAGACACCGCCGCGACUACCCACGGUACAGUACCAUCGGCAUACGAUUACUAAGGGAGCCGCGGAUAAGCUCGACUAAGCACUAAUCGAGAGCACCGCGAAGUCUCUUUCAUCACGGGCGUAAGUAAUUCGUUUAGUAAUUUACUGAGCGGAGCGAAUAAGAGUUACAACGAGGUGUCCUCGCAUGAAUUAACAAACGGUACUGACGAGAAUAUCCGCGUUAAGGUAACCAUUAAAGCAUCGUCUUCCCAUAAUCGAUGCGCCUUGCAUAAGCGUAACGCUACCCAAAAGUCUUUUUGCGCUUCCCUGACGCUUUAUGUCAACGAUUCUGUUAGAAAUAAUUUUUAAUUAAACUCGUCUACGUUGCAGUUCAAUCGUCUUGGAAUCAAAUUACCGCUCAUUAUAUUCUAUGUAUUUAUUAACGAAUAUCGAGGUACAUGUUAAACGUGUUAAUAAGCAUCGUUCCUUUAUUGAAAUCUGUCGAUAUUGAAAAAACCUUCGCGUAACGUGAAGAAGGAAAUUUUCCAAUUCGUCCGGAGACAAGGCAAGUCAUUUUUCCUUCGGUUAUAUCACGACGUGUGUUCAGCCUGUAUUUAUGCAUCCAUUCGAAUGUCUUCUCUUGUUCAUUGCGAUGCGUAUAUGCAGCACCCAUAUCGCACGAGGUUAUCUUCAUCUGCAAUGUUCCCUUCUAUUCGAAUGCGAACGAUAAAUCGUGAAAAGGUUUUCAGGAAUGUCUCGGAUGGACUCGGUAAUGGAAAACGCGGACCCACCCGUCCGUAGUUCACCACGAUAAAAACUUCUUGCUCGAUGCAUAUUUUCUGUUUAAUUAGGUGACAACUAAAAUAUUACCAUGGAUGUUUAUAUACAAUAACUAAUUAAUAAUGUUACCUUUAACAUGGUAUUCUAAAUGAGUCGUACUCGAAGAGCAAGAGCUUUUUAAAGAACUCGAUGUUUUGAUCCCAUUUAUACAUGCAGUCUGCUAAGGAGAAGAAUUUACGAGAUGAAAUAAAACAGCAUGUAGGAUUUUUUUAUGACGCCCGAAGGGUCUGUUUUAUACUGGAACACGGCAUAUCAAAUGCAUGAGAGAUACUUGCUCUUGAAGCUUAUUAAACCGAAUGCUUUUUUAUUAAUAGGUGCUGUCACCCACGCGAAAACAGUAUUACCAGCGUAAAACACGUAUUUGCCAGGAGCUAUUCAGUUACAUAUUGUGUAAUACAGGAUUACAACUUCAUAAAGCGUCGGUCUGUUAUUUAUCAUUCCAUUAUCGUUCACCGCUGCAUACUUCCUGCUGUGUAACUACCAUAACUUUUUUAAACAGACAUUUCACGUUUCGUGUAAAUCAAAUCUGCUCCAUUGUAAUUCUGCUCGCGAUAGAUUUUAAAAUGUCAGCUUUUUUUCCCCCGUCCAAUCGAACGCGUACGGCUUAACCAGAUUCUCUUUAUCGAUCCCUGAUUUAUGUCACGUCAUGGUUACUGGAAUUCGGGCCUCGCUUUGUCCACGCGUUAUAAAUCUGCUUAGGAGCUUGACAUUCUAACAACUUGUUUGAUGUAAACGCAACUUGGUUGUUGCAGUGCGUGCAAUAAAAUUGUAUAAAUUAUUGGCUCGCCAUUAGACGCACAGGGAAACGGACGCGUAUUGUUUAGUAGAAUUGGUCUGUGUCGUGUUUUCCAACGUCACUUCAAAGUUAUACGCCGUCCCAGAUCCAUAUGUACGCCGCUGUAUUGCCGAACAUUUAUGAAAUUGCAAAUUACAUUCGUGAUUGCCAGUUAGAACUCGGAAAAGGAAGUGAAUAUUUCUUUCAAGUGGAAACUGGGAACUUGUCACUUCAGCAAAAAUAAACGGAAACAAGCUAUGCUUCGUGAUAUGAACAACCUAAUGUCUACAAUAAAUGGUACUGAAGAAGAACAUAAAUUGGCUACGAGAACGUUUCACGCAUGCCAUCUUAUGAGAUAACAAUUGAAAAUAUGAAACCAGUAACGAAACCGUGCGAUUCACGUAUCAAUAUCAAAUAACUGCUAACAGACGCACACGAAUGGUUCAUCAGAGUUCUGAACUUUGUCAUUAAAUCGGACCGCGCCCCCUGUUCCACCACGAUCGUUUUUGGUAUAAUAAUAAACAAACGCGGUACAGGUCCAUAUAUACAUGCACACACUAGGGGUAGCUUUUACCGUCAGGUGAAAACGAAGCGCCGGGCCCGUAAGAGACUAAUAAUACGUGGACAUAUAUCACGGAAGACUGGAUAAUUCCGUUAGCACGGAGAUUGGAGCUCAAUGAGGUAUGUCGUUACACGAUGCUUACACGGGCCCCUGACGAGCCAAGGGGUUCUGCCUAUUUUGCUACGGCCAGCGGAGCUGUGAAAAUGCCUUUUUACGAAGCAACCGAGCAUGCGAGCCGCGAUCGCACCUCGACCAUGCACACGCCGCGCCCCGGGUCGACUCGCAGGCGUAGCGGACCAAGUGAGACACGAUGAAACGUGUACGGAUGAAAUGUUUUCACCGAGGAGGCUCAAAGGACGGUUAACAGGCAUGUGCACCUCUGACGGCGGCGUCCCAACCGAUCCCGGGCCGAUAUGCAUAUAGCGCGACGCUUCGCGAACCAACCCCCAUCCGUCCUCUUUUUCCCGCUUUGUUCGUCACAUCACCUCCUACGCCUUUUUUAUCCCUCGCUCUCCUCUUGUUUUUUGGUCGAUUUGAUUGGUUUAUCGCUUUUAGCUGUUGCCGAUUCGCGCGAUUCGCUCGCGGUGCUUCCACUAUGAAUAAUACACGGGGUGCUCCCGAUAAGCGUGAAACGUCGAAAAUAGGGGCGACAAAACCUACAAUGUAGGUCACCGUGCGAGAGAAUACGUUUCCCCUCGGCUUUUCUCGCAUUUCUUUACGCUCGUUUGCAUACAUUCUUAGUAAUUAAACCGCGGCUUCUCGGUUCGCUGUGAUACGUUCAUCGAGUAAACGAUAUUUCUGGUUCUACAAAAGUAUCGUCAUUUUUUCAAUAACGAACGAUGAUCGGCGGGUGGAUUUUAUGUAUCGUCGAAACUUGGUCCGUGCUGAGGACGAAGGGAGAUCUCUUUUUAAAGUCAGAAAUUCUAAUGCAGAGCAAUCUGCCAGAACCGCUUCUGCUCCUAGCUGCUCGAAAAUAUGAUCCGCCAGGACGAUCAUAAAGAAAUCAGCAAAUCAUAAAACAGGAAGAAUAGUUACGGCAGAAGGCAAAAAAGGAGUUCCUUCAAAGACGGCGCACAGCACGCCGUAUUUACUGCAAAAAAGGAGAGUUCGACCUCCACUAUUUGUGAAUCUUGCAAUAUUUCACUCCACAAAGAGCUGCGUUUCGAACUUGGAGGAAAAAGUAUAAAACGUCUUACUUGUAUUAUGAAAUGUUUCCUGUCCGAAUUAAGAUUUAUUGCAGUAAUAAAUAGGCGGUCUCAGAUUUUCUAAUGCGAAUUUGUUUUAUCAUUCGCAUAUUUGCAUUCGACAUUGUCUUUCUCCUGAUUCUCCUUUAUGGAGAGAAUGGGACAAGUGAUUCUGUCAGAGAAUUAGUUUUUUUUCGAACACAUCAAAGACACAAAUGGUUCUUUUACCAACAUUAUACUGAAGACGUUUGAGUGGCCUGUUUCAAAUGAGACUCUCUGUAUUCUAUACACAUCUCUCCGUAUAUGUAACUCUCUUCUUGGGUCUGUAUCCCCGAAAGUAUUUACUUGGACAAGAUUUUCAGAUAACGGAGAAUGUUUCUCAACAUAUAGCUUCUUGUAUAUGUAAAUACAUCGGUAUUAUUUACAAAAUAGUAUUAGGGAAGCGGAAAGAUCAAGUGAUACAAAUUGUACAUCGAGAAAUUGAAGAUCCCGUGUUUGGUUCUCGGUAGGAAAUCCAGGCCAUUCGUGCAAUUGCGCUAUAAGCAUUAUAUUAUACCUGCUAUAAGUAUCGCGCUAUAACUCGGCAUUGAAACGAGAUACAGAGAAAAUAAGUGUGCGCAAUAGAGUUUCAUAGGACUCAUAUAAGCUAGCUUCAACUCUUAUUAUCAAAUUUAAUCCCCAUACCUAGUCGGUCUGUUCUGCCAUUCACUUUAUUAAAACGAUUACUAUAUUCAAACUAUAAUGUACAAUUUCAAUUUGGAAAUACCGUUCACGAACUCUUGUCAGUGAAUUACAUUUACAAAAAUAAAUGUUUCCGUAGCUUUGAGAAGUGAGCAUUCGUCAAUUUUUCCCAGCAAGCAUUUUUAACAAUAGCAGCUGAAACGCGCGUUGGACGCAAUGAUCAAAGAUCCUUGAACGAGGUAUACAAAAAAAGCGCACAGGUGCCCGCUACCCUUUUUGCAAGCGCUGCGUGCGAGAAACUUUGGUAUGCAUGUUUUAUCGAUUGGUCACGUACUAACAAAAGCCGCGUUCGUUGUGGAGUAGGAAACGGUACCAAAAUGACAUUUGCUACGGGUUUGGUCGCGUUUCAUCUACACGAGAGUGUGUGCAACGAGAUUCGCGUCACAUAUAUAAUGCUCAUUAAAAUCAAAUAUGUAUACCUUUCCAGUUAACGAGAAUUUUCCUUUAUAAAACAAAGCCGCUUAUCUUUCAGGUGCAAACAACAUUAUAUUCAACGAUCGAUAAUUAUCUUGGACAAAAAAUUUCUGAAUAAAAUUUACGUUGCAGCUUUAUUAUCGGACAAGCCGCUGCAUACAUCAUUUCGCGCAAAUUCAUUCUCAAAGGUUGUAACAACAAUUAUAUUUUACAGUUAAGGGUUAAAGUUUCAUGCGCAGAUAUAUCUACAAGCUACCGUAUCUAGUUCGGCUAAUACCCUGAAUGUUCUGUACAAAGUAACUUCUAAAUGUUUAUCUUACUUCACAUGUAGAAACACUUGGAUAGUCUAGUACUAACUUCGCCCUCGCUCCGUCCCUCUCAGGAAAUUCAGUUUAUUUACUAUUCCAUGUAGUCGAAAUUAUACCUAUCAAGUACAACUUCUGUGAAGAAAGAAACAAUUCUGUCUUUUAUAUACAAAGAGACUAUUACGUUCCUUAAACUGAGUAAGGCAGAACGAGUGCAUACAGCGUGCAAUUACUUUUUUUUUUAUGACAUCGU